AGCGCAACCCUUAUCAUUAGUUGCUAACAUUCAGUUGAGAACUCUAAUGAGACUGCCAGUGAUAAACUGGAGGAGGGUGGGAUGACGUCAAAUCAUCAUGCCCCUUAUGACCUGGGCUACACACGUGCUACAAUGGCCGGUACAAAGAGUUGCGAAACUGUGAAGUUAAGCUAAUCUCAUAAAGCCGGUCUCAGUUCGGAUUGUAGUCUGCAACUCGACUACAUGAAGUCGGAAUCGCUAGUAAUCGCGAAUCAGAAUGUCGCGGUGAAUACGUUCUCGAGUCUU
rnacentral:rRNA from 1 species